GGACCCGCACAAGUAGUGGAGCAUGUGGUUUAAUUCGAAGAUACGCGCAGAACCUUACCAACACUUGACAUGUUCGUCGCGACUUUAAGAGAUUAAAGUUUUCGGUUCGGCCGGACGAAACACAGGUGCUGCAUGGCUGUCGUCAGCUCGUGUCGUGAGAUGUUGGUUAAGUCCCGCAACGAGCGCAACCCUCACUUUUAGUUGCCAUCAUUUAGUUGGGCACUCUGAAAGAACUGCCAGUGAUAAGCUGGAGGAAGGUGGGGAUGACGUCAAGUCCUCAUGGCCCUUACACUCUGGGCUACACACGUGCUACAUUGGGUAGAACAAUAGUUGCUAGUUGCGAAACCAAGCG
rnacentral:rRNA from 1 species